rnacentral:rRNA from 1 species
UACGUAGGGUGCAAGCGUUAAUCGGAAUACUGGGCGUAAAGCGUGCGCAGGCGGUUUUGUAAGUCUGUCGUGAAAUCCCCGGGCUCAACCUGGGAAUUGCGAUGGAGACUGCAAGGCUAGAGUUUGGCAGAGGGGGGUAGAAUUCCACGUGUAGCAGUGAAAUGCGUAGAUAUGUGGAGGAACACCGAUGGCGAAGGCAGCCCCCUGGGUCAAAACUGACGCUCAUGCACGAAAGCGUGGGGAGCAAACAGG